UGCUAUACAUGCAAGUCGAGCGGACAGAAGGGAGCUUGCUCCCGGAUGUUAGCGGCGGACGGGUGAGUAACACGUGGGUAACCUGCCUGUAAGACUGGGAUAACUCCGGGAAACCGGAGCUAAUACCGGAUAGUUCCUUGAACCGCAUGGUUCAAGGAUGAAAGACGGUUUCGGCUGUCACUUACAGAUGGACCCGCGGCGCAUUAGCUAGUUGGUGAGGUAACGGCUCACCAAGGCGACGAUGCGUAGCCGACCUGAGAGGGUGAUCGGCCACACUGGGACUGAGACACGGCCCAGACUCCUACGGGAGGCAGCAGUAGGGAAUCUUCCGCAAUGGACGAAAGUCUGACGGAGCAACGCCGCGUGAGUGAUGAAGGUUUUCGGAUCGUAAAGCUCUGUUGUUAGGGAAGAACAAGUGCAAGAGUAACUGCUUGCACCUUGACGGUACCUAACCAGAAAGCCACGGCUAACUACGUGCCAGCAGCCGCGGUAAUACGUAGGUGGCAAGCGUUGUCCGGAAUUAUUGGGCGUAAAGGGCUCGCAGGCGGUUUCUUAAGUCUGAUGUGAAAGCCCCCGGCUCAACCGGGGAGGGUCAUUGGAAACUGGGAAACUUGAGUGCAGAAGAGGAGAGUGGAAUUCCACGUGUAGCGGUGAAAUGCGUAGAGAUGUGGAGGAACACCAGUGGCGAAGGCGACUCUCUGGUCUGUAACUGACGCUGAGGAGCGAAAGCGUGGGGAGCGAACAGGAUUAGAUACCCUGGUAGUCCACGCCGUAAACGAUGAGUGCUAAGUGUUAGGGGGUUUCCGCCCCUUAGUGCUGCAGCUAACGCAUUAAGCACUCCGCCUGGGGAGUACGGUCGCAAGACUGAAACUCAAAGGAAUUGACGGGGGCCCGCACAAGCGGUGGAGCAUGUGGUUUAAUUCGAAGCACGCGAGAACCUUACCAGGUCUUGACAUCCUCUGACACCCUAGAGAUAGGGCUUUCCCUUCGGGGACAGAGUGACAGUGCUGCAUGAUGUCGUCAGCUCGUGUCGUGAGAUGUUGGGUUAGUCCCGCAUGAGCGCACCCUUGAUCUAGUGCCAGCAUUCAGUUGGGAC
rnacentral:rRNA from 1 species